GAUGAACGCUGGCGGCGUGCUUAACACAUGCAAGUCGAACGAUGAAGCCCAGCUUGCUGGGUGGAUUAGUGGCGAACGGGUGAGUAACACGUGAGUAACCUGCCCUUAACUCUGGGAUAAGCCUGGGAAACUGGGUCUAAUACCGGAUAGGAGCGCCUACCGCAUGGUGGGUGUUGGAAAGAUUUAUCGGUUUUGGAUGGACUCGCGGCCUAUCAGCUUGUUGGUGAGGUAAUGGCUCACCAAGGCGACGACGGGUAGCCGGCCUGAGAGGGUGACCGGCCACACUGGGACUGAGACACGGCCCAGACUCCUACGGGAGGCAGCAGUGGGGAAUAUUGCACAAUGGGCGAAAGCCUGAUGCAGCGACGCCGCGUGAGGGAUGACGGCCUUCGGGUUGUAAACCUCUUUCAGUAGGGAAGAAGCGAAAGUGACGGUACCUGCAGAAGAAGCACCGGCUAACCACGUG
rnacentral:rRNA from 1 species